CCCUUAGAUGUUCUGGGCUGCACGCGCGCUACACUGAUACCUUCAGCGAGUCCACCACCUUGCCUGGGAGGGUGGGGUAACCUCUGGAAAGUGCAUCGUGAUGGGGAUCGAUUAUUGUAAUUAUUAAUCUUCAACGAGGAAUUCCUAGUAAGCGCGAGUCAUCAGCUCGUGCUGAUUACGUCCCUGCCCUUUGUACACACCGCCCGUCGCUCCUACCGAUUGGGUGUGCUGGUGAAAUGUUCGGAUCGGCCGUUUGUCGCGGUUUCCGCGUCAUGUGGCUGAGAAGUUCAUUAAACCCUCCCACCUAGAGGAAGGAGAAGUCGUAACA
rnacentral:rRNA from 1 species